CCUUCUCUCUCGGGCUCUGAGCCGCACAGCCAGCCAGAGGGUCUCGUGUGGGCUUCUUCAGCGCUGUUCCCGGGGUCUCCACAAGCCCCCCUGGAAGGAUUGGAGAGAGGGAUGGAGAGGGACAAGCAUGAGGUGGCAGUGAUAACCAUACAGACGAAGCUGCUCUUGACAUGGACUCGCACAAAUGCACAAAAAAUGGGUGAGAGAGAAUAACGCAGGGAUUGGCCGGUCGGUCUGUUCCAUAUUCAGUAGCUCCGGAUGAGGCGGGGGGCCUGCUGGGAAAAUGGUGUCGUAAUCAGGAGCCCACCGCUCUGCC